rnacentral:rRNA from 1 species
GUAGAAGCAACAGGGAUUGCCCCAGUAACGGCGAGUGAAGCGGCAACAGCUCAAAUUUGAAAUCUGGCUCCCUCGGGGGUCCGAAUUGUAAUUUGCAGAGGGAGUCUCGGGCGCGACACCGGUCUAAGUCCCUUGGAACAGGGCGUCAUAGAGGGUGAGAAUCCCGUACGUGACCGGCCGUCAACCCCAUGCGAGGCCCCUUCGACGAGUCGAGUUGUUUGGGAAUGCAGCUCAAAGCGGGUGGUAAAUUUCAUCUAAAGCUAAAUACCGGCCAGAGACCGAUAGCGCACAAGUAGAGUGAUCGAAAGAUGAAAAGCACUUUGGAAAGAGAGUUAAAAAGUAUGUGAAAUUGUUGAAAGGGAAGCGCUUGCAGCCAGACUUGACCGUUGGUGAUCAGCCGUCCCUCGGGGCGGUGCACUCUCCCUCGGUCAGGCCAGCAUCGGUUUCGGCGGCCGGACAAAGGCCCCGGGAACGUGGCUCCCUCCGGGGAGUGUUAUAGCCCGGGUUGCAAUGCGGCCAGCCGGGACCGAGGACCGCGCUUCUGCUAGGAUGCUGGCGUAAUGGCUGCCAGCGACCCGUCUUGAAACACGGACCAAGGAGUCGACCAACCAAGCGAGUGUUUGGGUGUCAAACCCACACGCGUAAUGAAAGUGAACGGAGGUGGGAACCCCCUCGCGGGGCGCACCAUCGACCGAUCCUGAUGUCUUCGGAUGGAUUUGAGUAAGAGCUCGGUUGGCCGGACCCGAAAGAUGGUGAACUAUGCGUGAAUAGGGUGAAGCCAGAGGAAACUCUGGUGGAGGCUCGCAGCGGUUCUGACGUGCAAAUCGAUCGUCAAAUUUGCGUAUAGGGGCGAAAGACUAAUCGAACCAUCUAGUAGCUGGUUCUGCGAGUUUCCCUCCCCGG